GGGCGCGUAGCUCAGCCUGGGGAGAGCAGCCGUCCGAUAUACGGUGUGUCGUUGGUUCAAAUCCAACCGUGCCCA
rnacentral:tRNA from 1 species